CCUACGGGAGGCAGCAGUGGGGAAUAUUGGACAAUGGGGGGAACCCUGAUCCAGCGACGCCGCGUGAGUGAAGAAGUAUUUCGGUAUGUAAAGCUCUAUCAGCAGGGAAGCAAAUGACGGUACCUGACUAAGAAGCCCCGGCUAACUACGUGCCAGCAGCCGCGGUAAUAAGGAGGGGGCCAGCGUUAUCCGGAUUUACUGGGGGUAAAGGGGGCGUAGGCGGUGCAGCAAGUCUGAUGGGAAAGGGCCGGGCCCAACCCCGGGACUGCAGUGGAAACUGUUGAACUGGAGUACAGGAGAGGUAAGCGGAAUGCGUAGUGUAGCGGUGAAAUGCGUAGAUAUUAGGAGGAACACCGGUGGCGAAGGCGGCUUACUGGACUCUAACUGACGUUGAGGCACGAAAGCGUGGGUAGCGAACAGGAUUAGAUACCCCAGUAGUC
rnacentral:rRNA from 1 species